rnacentral:rRNA from 1 species
ACACGCAUGACACACUGCAUAUCAAUAAGCGGAGGAAAAGAAACUAACAAGGAUUCCCUUAGUAACGGCGAGUGAAGCGGGAAGAGCUCAAAUUUGAAAUCUUCAAGGUUCUACCUUGACGAAUUGUAGUUUAUAGAAGUGUUUUCUGUUAGUAGAGUGGCAAAAGUUCUUUGGAAUAGGACAUCAUAGAGGGUGAGAAUCCCGUAUUUGGUCAUUCCUUCCUAGCGUUGUGAUACACUUUCAACGAGUCGGAUUGUUUGGGAAUGCAGUCCAAAAUGGGUGGUAAAUUUCAUCUAAAGCUAAAUAUUGGCGAGAGACCGAUAGCGAACAAGCACCGUGAGGGAAAGAUGAAAGGAACUUUGAAAAGAGAGUUAAACAGUACGUGAAAUUGUCAAAAGGGAAGCGUUUGACACCAGUGUUGUUUUUCCGAAAAUCAAUUACGAAUGUUUUAGUUUUUGAGGAGUUAUGACUUCAUCGGCUUGCUCCUUUCUUUAUGAAACUUUCUUAAUGCACUUUUCGGUUAACAAGUCAACAUCAAUUUCUUUUGUUGUAAAAGGGUAUGAGGAAGGGUGGCUUUCUCUUCGGCGCAAGUGUUUAUAGCCUUGUAGCCUCUGCAAUCGGAGAGAUUGAGGUCUGCAGCGUAGAUCCUUCGGGGUUAGAUACGUUUGUGCUAAGCUAUAGCCUUGUAUAGACAACUUGUUGACCUAUGCUCUAGUCAUGUAGUUUACUCGCAGAUGCUAUUUUACCUACGCUUAGGAUGUUGACGCAUGAGAUAUACGC